UCGAAUCUGUUUUGAACAGGAUCUGUUCUAUAAGCUCGUGCCCCUGUACCCUUAAGUUCUAAGGAGACAGUGGACGAAUCAUGACCCUGUGAUAAGAU
rnacentral:snoRNA from 1 species